UACGGGAGGCAGCAGUGGGGAAUUUUCCGCAAUGGGCGAAAGCCUGACGGAGCAACGCCGCGUGAGGGAUGAAGGCCUCUGGGCUGUAAACCUCUUUUCUCAAGGAAGAAGACCUGACGGUACUUGAGGAAUAAGCCACGGCUAAUUCCGUGCCAGCAGCCGCGGUAAUACGGGAGUGGCAAGCGUUAUCCGGAAUUAUUGGGCGUAAAGCGUCCGCAGGCGGCCCUGUAAGUCUGUCGUUAAAGCGUGGAGCUUAACUCCAUUUCAGCGAUGGAAACUACAGGGCUUGAGUGUGGUAGGGGCAGAGGGAAUUCCCGGUGUAGCGGUGAAAUGCGUAGAUAUCGGGAAGAACACCAGUGGCGAAGGCGCUCUGCUGGGCCAUAACUGACGCUCAUGGACGAAAGCCAGGGGAGCGAAAGGGAUUAGAUACCCCUGUAGUCCUGGCCGUAAACGAUGAACACUAGGUGUCGGGGGAAUCGACCCCCUCGGUGUCGUAGCCAACGCGUUAAGUGUUCCGCCUGGGGAGUACGCACGCACGUGUGAAACUCAAAGGAAUUGACGGGGA
rnacentral:rRNA from 1 species